UAUCAUUUUUUUUCUGGCGAAAGCAAAUCCCGAAACGCCUCGUCCAGUGCAGCCCCCGACCCCUAGCUCCCAGUCCUCCCUCCCUGCGCCGCCGCUCAUCGCGCCGGCCACCACCACCUCCCUCCCUAGACAGCCUCCACCACCCCCUCCUCCAGCAGCCAUGUACAGCGGAGCGACGACCACGCGUCUGGCCUAGGUGAGUCCCGGCCUCCCUCUUCCCUUCGUCCAAGGCCAGGAGUUCCCCUCCACGACCUGAUCUGACGGAGCCACAUCCGGCUGGGGGAGCCUCCGUAGAGCCUCCACGUCGGCGGAGCAGCAGCAGCCCGAUAGAAGGUGGGUGCCCAAUCGCCGUCCAGCAUCUCGCCGUUUUCUCGAUCCGGUGCAUGGUUCAACCUGCACGGAGGGCGGUGGAACCGAGACACGGCAGCUUCACCUCCACAGGCGGCUUUCUUAUCGACCUCCUAUGAGCGGCGGCGGCGGCGGCCAGGUCAGAGCUUGAUAUAUUCCAAGUUCCAAAAAAUAAAUCCAUUAACUCAUAUGUUUGUAAAUUUUGUAAGGAGUGCAUAUGGCCUGAUGUUCCUUGUGUGUAUCAUGAGGAUUUGGGAGCAUCGGCGACAGACAAUUAACUAGCUAAUUGUCGUCUCUCAGCUCUGAACGGUACAUCAUGUGUGGCAACUUCAGCUUUGUACCAGGGAGUGAGGAUAUGCAGAUUUUCGGAUGGAGAGUGGCGACCCAAUCUCUUGCUACCAAACAUAACACCUACAGAAGAACUAUUGUAUUGGAAGAUGUUUGUGACAUUUGUGGGACGGAAAGUGAAGACGAGUAUCAUGUUGUAGUCUCAUGUACUCGCAGUAGGGCGAUGAGAUGUGCUAUGAGGGCUUUCUGGGACCUUCCAAAGGAACAUGCCUUUGGUCCAACAGGCAAGGAUUGGUUACAAUGUCUGCUUAUCCCUAAUUCCGAGCAUAUCAGAUGCAAAAUCCUGAUGAUUCUUUGGAAAACAUGGCAGCUUAGAAAUAAUCUAAUCCAUGGAGAUGGGAAGGAGACAGUUACUUAGGCUCAGUGAUGAUCUUGAGAUGGCUACACUUGCAACUGACAGAACGGGAAGCAAAAGCACCCUUUCUGUGCAUGUCCAGAGCAUUUGCAAGCCAGUUACCCUUGCUUGCAAUCGGUGGCGCGCACCACCAGAAGGAACUACCAAACUGAACUCUGACGCUGCAUUCUUACAUGAGGCGGAUGACUCGGGGAGGAGCAGUUGUUCGGGAUUUCAGUGGCAAUCCUCUUCUGUCUGUCGGCUGUUAGUUACAACAGUGUACGUCGAUAGAAGAAGCCGAAGCCUUUGUGGCUCUGAUGGGUUUGUCUGAGCUAAAGAAAUUUUUCACGGGGCAUAUACUAAUUGAGACAAAUUGUGCCACCAUUGGACGAGAGCUUCAAUCGGAAGGAGUGUGCAGAUCGUUGUGGUUUGCUGUGAUGACAGAUAUUAAAGAACAGAUCAAAAUCUUUGCAAGCGUGCAGAUUAACAUCGUAAAGCAGGAUCAAAACAAAUUGGCCCAUGAGAUUGCGGUGACGGCGAUAAGAUUGGGCGAUCACCUCCGUUUAACAGAUGUGCAUGAUAAUGUUAGACAAAUUCUAAUGUCAAAGUGUAUUCCCACCAAUGCAUAGCUUGUUGCUUUGGUUCUAGAAAAACAAAAACAAAUUACGCUAUAGAUUUUCACUCUUAGCUAGAUGCAUACACAUAGGCCUUUAUUUAGUGCAUUUCAAAUAAACCUGGGCAUUUAAUGGUUUAUCGGUUUAUGUGUGCAAGAUACAAGAAGAAGACUAAGGAUCUUAUUAAGGAGCAUGUUGAGAGUGAAGAUGAUGCUGCAGAGUAAUAAUGUUGACACUGUGAUAUCUCGAUACCAAUAGCUUCGGUUUGUCCACGUCAUCGUGAGGUGGAGUGCCAAAAUGCCUGAAGCUUAUGACAUGGGUGAAGCUGCAAGUGCAAUGCAAGUGUUGUGCUCCGUGAAUAGCAAGCCCAUUUGGGGAAUGUAUUUGAACAAUGACCCAAGCAGUCGCACAAGCAGAUCUGCACAUAUUAUUACCAAGGUUGCGAACCAGAUGCGCCAUUGACGGCGAUGGCAGGUUUGGAUUGGGAAGGAGAAGAUGAGAAGAUAGUUGGGGAGUAAGAAGGUGUAAAAUCGACAAUAUCGUCUUAUGUGCAUGAGGAUCCUAAUGGUAUAUGUUUGACGCGAUUGGUGCUAAACUACUAAGAUAUGUGGUGGCGCGAGGUGGGGGUCGGCAAUGAGGCGGCUAUGCUGCAUGAGGCAGUCAAGUCCGAGGCUGCACUGGGGAGGCACGUGCGGUGCCUGCCCCAAGACCCCGUUGGGGCGAGGCAUGGGCGGCACCCACCCUCCCUGUUAUUGCCCUGCGGGGUCAGGCUGCCCCUCUUCCCAGAGGUCAACGCCGGUCAGUGUGCUUCUGGUUUCUACAGUAGCAGAGGCGACCAGGAGGGCACGUAUGGGGUGUGUACAUUGAAAGGACCACUACGAUCAUGCUCGAUUCGCUUCGAGCAGGACCAUGGCGUCAAUUCCAACGCCAUCCGUGAGAUCUCCCUCUUCAAGGAUGCGCAACAUCCAAACAUGGUCAGUACUGCAACCCUCUUGUCUUCCUCUCCCUCCCUGCAUGGUGGUCGCUGUCAGCAUCAGCAUCAAGGUUUAGGGUGCCUUUCGUCCCUCUUGUAUGGAUGGAUAGGUUGGUGUGUUUUGUUCUUUCUUUCUUUGUUGCCAUGUAGGUUGCAGGAGGAGGUGCACACGUGCACAAUGAGAAGUGCAUAUGCCGACUCAUCCCGGAGACCAGAACUUGAAAUAUAUAGACACAUACACGUAGUCAAGGCAGAUGCCAACAAAAAAAAAUGAUUUGAUUUUAUUUGGCUUGUUUAUCAAUUGUCUCUUACUAUUUCCUAACAUUUCCUCAGUUUGGCCCUGAAAUACUGAUGUACUUUGGUUGUAUUUGUUGACUUGUUGUUUCAUUCAGUUUGCAAGGGUUACCUUGUGCAAAUUCUUAACACAGUCAUCAUAAUUGCAUCUAUAGCAAAUAGCUAUUAUCGAAAUGAUAGACCACUCCAAGAUUAUGAUUGUACUAUGCCAAAUUGCCAAUUUCUAUUACUAGGAGUAAAAUACUCGUGUAUCUCUAAAAAAACAACUACUAAUGUACUCCCUCCGGAACAAAUAUAAGACUGUUUAGAUCACUAAUUUAGUGAUCGAAACUGUCUUUAUAUUUGUUUACGGAGGGAGUAUCAUGCAAACAUUUGAGGCACCCUAGCGAAGAUGCAUGGCGGCAGAAGCGAUACUCCGAGCACAUGGUCGCCGCGAGAGCCUCGCCGGGGGAGAAGAAAAUGGCAAAGAAUCCAUCAAAAUUCAUGGUGUUGAUGUGGAAGGUUGGGGGAUUUUUAGACGGAUGCGCCAUUGAUGGUGGUUGCGAUCUUGGCAGCAAGCGCUUGGAUUGGGAAGAUAGAGAUAGUGGGUGAAGAGGAGGAGAAGGAGCCCGAAUAAGAAGAGUGCUUUAAGGGUAGAAAAGAAGUCAACAAUGAUGCUUAAUGUGCAUUAGGAUCCUAAAGAUGUAUGUUUUGGACAAUUAAGCACUACCAUAUUUAUACCCCUGUUGCAACACAAAGGCUGAUUAGUUCAAAUUUAUUUGCUUUAAGGGUUUUUGUAACGAUGGUGUAUGUUGCACUACAAAAACGCAAUAAAAAUUAAUAUUUUGUCUUCA